UAAGACGGAGGGGGCUAGCGUUGUUCGGAAUUACUGGGCGUAAAGGGCGCGUAGGCGGAUUAGUAAGUUGGGAGUGAAAGCCCGGGGCUUAACCUCGGAACUGCUUUCAAAACUGCUAGUCUUGAGUGAAGUAGGGGAUGAUGGAAUUCCUAGUGUAGAGGUGAAAUUCUUAGAUAUUAGGAGGAACACCGGUGGCGAAGGCGGUCAUCUGGACUUCAACUGACGCUGAGGCGCGAAAGCGUGGGGAGCAAACAGG
rnacentral:rRNA from 2 species